GAUUUGGGAGUGCUCGCAAGAGAACCGGAACACAGGUGCUGCAUGGCUGUCGUCAGCUCGUGUCGUGAGAUGUUGGGUUAAGUCCCGCAACGAGCGCAACCCUUGUCAUUAGUUGCCACCAUUCAGUUGGGGCACUCUAAUGAGACUGCCGGUGACAAACCGGAGGAAGGUGGGGAUGACGUCAAGUCCUCAUGGCCCUUAUGGGUAGGGCUUCACACGUCAUACAAUGGUCGGUACAGAGGGUCGCCAACCCGCGAGGGGGAGCCAAUCCCACAAAGCCGAUCGUAGUCCGGAUUGGAGUCUGCAACUCGACUCCAUGAAGUCGGAAUCGCUAGUAAUCGUGGAUCAGCAUGUCACGGUGAAUACGUUCCCGGGUCUU
rnacentral:rRNA from 1 species